rnacentral:rRNA from 1 species
UACAGAGGUCCCAAGCGUUGUUCGGAUUCAUUGGGCGUAAAGGGUGCGUAGGCGGCGCGGUAAGUCGGGUGUGAAAUCUCGGGGCUUAACUCCGAAACUGCAUUCGAUACUGCCGUGCUAGAGUACAGAAGGGGCAACUGGAAUUCUCGGUGUAGCGGUGAAAUGCGUAGAUAUCGGGAGGAACACCUGCGGCGAAGGCGGGUUGCUGGGCUGAUACUGACGCUGAGGCGCGAAAGCCAGGGGAGCGAACGGG